UUACGGCCAUAUCACGUUGAAACAGCGAUUCUCGUUCGAUCACUGAAGUUAAACAACGUGGGGCCUGCUCAGUACCUAGAUGGAUGACCGUUUUGGAAUACCAGGCGCUGAAA